AGGACAACUCAAUCUUUGCUCUCAUCUGCUAUUUCUCUUACUGACACACACUCCGCCAAGAGGUUCUGAAUGCUAUAUCAUGCCUAGCAGAAAACACCAAUCACGUUGUGGUCUUUGAUGAGGUUCUAUCUGUGGCUGGAAAAGAUAUCUGUACAAAAGACAUACCAAGGAUUCGUGGAGGCUGGGCCAUACAGGAUGUUUUUUAUGCAUUUUCCCAGCACAAGGAGCUUGCACUUCUAUUCCUGGAGUACACUUUAUCUAUACUUCACAAAGAACCUGUCAUAAUAAACAGUUCUGAGAAGGGGGAGAGUACCUCUGAGUCAUUGGCUGAUGACUGUAUUCUACAGGCAACUAUGUUUGCUCUCAAUGCAUUUAUGAGAGGUGGUGGGAAGAUUGGGAAACAAGCUGUUGAGAAAAGUUACCCUUCUGUUCUUUCGGGCCUUAUACUGAAGCUCGGAAGUCUUAAUGGUGUUGCUGAAUUGGGUCGAAAUGAACUUCUACGG